rnacentral:lncRNA from 1 species
GUUGCAGCUAACCCCUGUAUAGUGUUGCUGCUUUCAGAUAUGUCUAAUUACACUUAAAAUAAAGAUACUAAUGCCAUCAAUCAGCACCGAUAGCUCACUAUCACAGAAUCCAACCCUUUGACAACUUUCACGAGUAAUAUAAGAGUAUAAUAUAUGUUUAUAAAGACACCAUUAUGUGCACAAUAGUAUUUCUAUUAGUUGGCUUGUAAUCACUGAAUACCAUGGAGGUGAGUUUAACAAGCUAAAGACCCAUUCAGGCAGUGCUAAGAAAGAAAGGGAAUGUCAGUCAGCCUUCCUUCAGACCCCAGUCAUGUGGCAAAAAGUAUUUUUUAUAAUCUUUGGCUCACAAACCACCGAGAGAAAUACUUGAAUUGUUUUCUACCACAUUAUUUCUUGCUGAAAGUGGAAAGGUAUCAGCAGAUUCCUUUUCAGAAAGGUAGAUGAAGAUGUGUAUGAAUACCACCAGUGCCACCUAGCGUUCUUCGGUUGGGGAGAGGGACAGCGUUCCCGUGCAGGCUCUGCUGCAUCUCAGACGGACACAGCCUGACCUCGUUUCGCCACCCCAAAAAGGGACAGACUGGUCUUUGCUCCUCUAUCGUCCUGUUUGCUGAAGUCUUAAGAAAUGCAGGAAAGAUAUCAACAUUUGAAACUCAGCAUGAUUGGGUCAGCAGAAGAAAAAAUUUUCCUGCAGCAGCAAGGAGUCUUCAGAAUCAGGCAGCCUUCAAAAAUUUCCACUCCAGUAGUUCCUCUUAAGAGUUCACGGAGCCAGAAACACCAGGCAAAUGUGGAGGAAUAAAGCCUUCAGCUAUAAGCAAGUCCCACUUCUUGAGAAGAGCAGGUUGGUUCAGUCAUGAGAGAGAUGCUGAGAUGGGCAUCAACACAGUGUACUCUAUGCUGUAGGUUUGGCGGUACUACUGCCUGCACGUCAUAGGGAUGCAGAAGCUGUUUGUGUAUGGUUCAGCUGCUCCCUUGGGUCUGCUGCGAGGGCAUCAGUGCCUGGAAAAGUGAUGGGCAAAAGAGGUGAUGAAGGACUGAAGCAGAUCCACCAGAUCCACCAGAUCCACCUGCCCGUGCUCACAGACCCAUCCUGAAAAUCUAUCUCAGCCUAUUUAGUGGGGCCAUAAGGCCUGCUAGUGUCUGUGAUUGCUCAUUAGCUUAUAUUCAUGACAGCUAUUCCUAAGGAAGGGGACCUGUAGCCUCUGCUUUUAGCAUGCAAAUUAAGCAAAGUUUGGAGUUACUACACAAAAUCACCAAAUGCCAGGCUUUCAUUACUGCACUCGGCUUUUCAGAAUACAGUUUUAAUUGAACUAAUUAUCACAGGC